rnacentral:misc_RNA from 1 species
GAUGAAGAACGUAGCGAAAUGCGAUAAGUAAUGUGAAUUGCAGAAUUCAGUUAAUCAUCGAAUCUUUGAACGCACCUUGCACCCUUUGGCAUUCCGAAGGGUAUGCUCGUUUGAGUGUCAUUGUACUCUCACACUCUCCGAUCCUAUGGAUUCGGGGAGCGGUGGACUUGGGUGUUGCUGCCUUUCCUUGUGGCUCACCUCAAAUGUGUCAGUGCACCUCUUGGUUGGACAUAGUACGGCGUGAUAAGUGUCUUCGCCGGCACCUCGCAAGAGGGUGGCCGAUCGGGAGCUCUGUGCUUUCAAACCGUCUUCGGACAAUUUCUGACAACUUGACCUCAAAUCGAGUAGGACUACCCGCUGAACUUAAGCAUAUCAAUAAGCGGAGGA